UACGUAGGGGGCUAGCGUUGUCCGGAAUCAUUGGGCGUAAAGCGCGCGUAGGCGGCCCGGUAAGUCCGCUGUGAAAGUCAAAGGCUCAACCUUUGAAUGUCAGCGGAUACUGCCGGGCUAGAGUCCGGAAGAGGCGAGUGGAACUCCUGGUGUAGCGGUGGAAUGCGCAGAUAUCAGGAAGAACACCAACGGCGAAGGCAGCUCGCUGGGACGGAACUGACGCUGAGGUGCGAAAGCGUGGGGAGCAAACAGG
rnacentral:rRNA from 1 species